rnacentral:rRNA from 1 species
GGCGAACGGGUGAGUAACACGUGAGCAAUCUGCCCUUGACUCUGGGAUAACUGCGGGAAACUGUAGCUAAUACCGGAUACGACACCUUGGGGCAUCCCGGGGUGUGGAAAGAAUUUUGGUCAAGGAUGAGCUCGCGGCCUAUCAGCUAGUUGGUGAGGUAAAGGCUCACCAAGGCGACGACGGGUAGCCGGCCUGAGAGGGAGAUCCCCCACACUGGUACUGAGACACGGACCAGACUCCUACGGGAGGCAGCAGUGAGGAAUAUUGGUCAAUGGGCGCAAGCCUGAACCAGCCAUGCCGCGUGCAGGAAGACGGUCCUUGGAUUGUAAACUGCUUUUAUACAGGAAGAAACAACUCUACGUGUAGAGUCUUGACGGUACUGUAGGAAUAAGGAUCGGCUAACUCCGUGCCAGCAGCCGCGGUAAUACGGAGGAUCCAAGCGUUAUCCGGAAUCAUUGGGUUUAAAGGGUCCGUAGGCGGCCUUAUAAGUCAGUGGUGAAAUCUCCUAGCUCAACUAGGAAACUGCCAUUGAUACUGUAGGGCUUGAAUAAUUGUGAAGUAACUAGAAUAUGUAGUGUAGCGGUGAAAUGCUUAGAUAUUACAUGGAAUACCAAUUGCGAAGGCAGGUUACUAACAAUUGAUUGACGCUGAUGGACGAAAGCGUGGGGAGCGAACAGGAUUAGAUACCCUGGUAGUCCACGCCGUAAACGAUGGAUACUAGCUGUUCGGAGCAAUCUGAGUGGCUAAGCGAAAGUGAUAAGUAUCCCACCUGGGGAGUACGCACGCAAGUGUGAAACUCAAAGGAAUUGACGGGGGCCCGCACAAG